CCUCUCCCCUUGUCCCUCCCUCUCCCCUUCCCCUUGUUCCUUUCCCCCUCCCCCCUCCUCCUCUUCCUCUCUCAUACACACAUUAACCUAGAACUCGCCCACUAGGCCAUACUUGUCAGCGAUACACUCCUGCCUCUGUCUCCCCAGCACACGAAUGCCACCACACCUGGCUUUUUUUUUAAUUUACAUGAACGAUGUGGACCCCCUCAUCACGAGUCAUCCAUACAGACAGAAAAGGACGUGGUGGGUUCAGAAGCACAUGUGGCAUCCCAGCUGCCAUGCGUUAAGGCAAACCCUAAAAGGAGUGUGAGGGGCUGAGAGCGUUCCACGGUUAACUGCUCUCUCAGACUAAGUGAGUUCCGUUCAGGCAUGGUUCACAACCACCUGUAACUCCUGUUCCAGGGGCUCUGACAUUCUCUUCUGCCCUCUGUAGGCACCGGCAUUCAUGUCUAUACGCCCAAGCAGACAUACAUACAUCAUUAGAAUUUUUAUUUAUCUUUUUUUUUUUUUUAAAAAAAGCUACAUUUUGAAGAAGAAAGCCCGAAAUGAUGUAAAAUGAAACUUUCGUUUUGGAAAAUAAGUGCUAUUUAUAAAAACGUCAGUACUCAUGAGGCAAUGGUGCUUUCAGACAGCUUGAAUUCCGGCAUGAAAGGUGAAUUAUUUUCCCCUAACACCCCCGAGGACCAAUGUUCUUAGGAAAUAAUUUUGAGAAUAGCUCAUGUAGCCUGGGUUGGCCCAAGGGCACAGAUAUUAGGAAUCAUCUUUCAGAACAUUCCUUGAGGAUCUUCUAGAAAACUUCCACUAUCCCUUCAUAAACAGGACAGUUGGCUCAAAAGACCAAAGAAAAUAUCCCGCACACAUCUGGAUGAAGACAGGAGCUGGGGGGUAGGGGUGGGGAGAGGGCAGGCUGGUCGCGUGGUUCCUGGCUUCCAGGGUACUCUUCAAAAGUCUCCUUAUCCAUCACUGGCAUCGUUAUUCGCAAAGGGAAUGAAGUCUUUCUUCCUGAACCCAAAAGUAGACAACCUUGAGGACCAAGACAAGCUGAGUUCUGACACCUGGCUGCCAUCCAGAAACAUCAAUUUUUGGAUGUUAUGGAGACUUCGUUCUCCAGAUGGUGACAGGGAUGUGACUGUCCAUUCCAGAUCUCCCUUGGGCAGCGCGCAGCUGCCCGUGUGUGCCACGCAUGCCCGGAAGCCAUGUUCGUGCAAGCCACAAGAGAAGCCGAAAGUUAAAAAAAAUAAAUAAAUACUUUCUCUGCCCUCGAA